UUUUUUGUGGUUAUGGGAAAUUUCUUUCAGUUGUAACAAAUGUUGCUAGUUACAUUAACCUCAGCAGGUGUUUGCUUUAAUUAAUUCGAUGAUUUGUAACUUCAUUUAUCUUUGUUGUUGUUAGUAUUGUAUGGUGGACCAGGGAUCAAGUAAGUGUUUCUCUUGCCCAAGAUUUUGUCAGUGAUUGUGAGAGUUAUCCAAAAGGAUGCAGAAGAGAAGAAAGCUGUUUUUAGCCGAAGGGCAUAUUUCAGAUUGUUUCUGAACUGGCUUUUGGACCUUGGUUCCCUUGACCCUGUCCUUGAUAGUUCCAACUUUCAGGUUCACUUUCUGUACAAAGGCACUCUAAGGGUGCUCUUGGUACUGCUUCAUGAUUUUCCAGAGUUCCUUUGUGAUUAUCAUUUCAGCUUCUGUGAUGUGAUUCCACGCAGUUGCAUUCAAAUGCGGAAUGUUAUUCAAAGUGCAUUCCCAGGAAACAUGAGAUUGAUUUGCUGGCUGAAAUCAGCCAAUCACCGGGCAUUCUCUUUGAGGUUGAUGGUGCUCUGAAAGCAAAGCAGAUUAAGGCUGACAUUGAUGAGUAUCUCAAGUUAUCUUAAGUUGUCAUUAUUUUUCUCUACCUAACAUUGAGAAAUUCUCUUAUUUUCAUAUUUACAUAGCCAACCAUGCUAUACUAUUUUAUAAGUGCAUGUUGCCA